UUAGAGCUGGCUCUGCAUUCACAUCACUAUCAUGUAUGAACACCACGCGAAGUAAGCACUUUUUAUAUAUUAUCUCAUUUAAUCCUGACAUCAGUCCUGUGCAGUAACACCAUUAUUCCAUUUUGUAGAAGCAAUUCUUGUGGUUAGGAGGAGUAAGUGACUCCCUCAAGGCCACACAGUAAGAAAGUAGGAUUUGAAUUUAGGUCUGUUUAAUUUGGAAGCCUGUAUGUGUCUCGCCCAUCAUGCCACCUCCCACAACUAAGCAGAUUCUGACAGGGCUUGAGGCCCAGAGGCAGACACAAGUCAGGACUAGAAACGGGCUUAGGCCAAAAGGGAGGAUGGGACCCAGAGGAUAUGAAAGUUCCCAGGGCUCAUUCCUGGCAGGCAAGACACCAGGUCUCCAAAGUCAGAACUGAAAGGCCCAGAGAAAUCAUGCACUCCAAUCCAGGCACUUAGCAGCCUUUCCCCAGGAUCAUCAGCAACCCCCAAGGCAGCAGAAGACAUUGCCCGGACCUGACUAAUGAUCACAAGAUACAGACCCCUGGCCGGCUAAAGAUAACCUGUUGACCUAAGUUAUGUUUCAGCAACUGAGCCCAAGGUGGAAUGACCCCCUGGCUACUUUUCCACGAGACAAGACAGAGGGACUCCAGAACAGACCUCUGAACUGUCCUCAAGAUCUGAAGAAAUGAUUUAUUACCCUUACUCAUCUCCGACCAAUCAGCUCCCAACAGGACGCUGAAGCCUUUACCCUUGGUGACUUGGAAGAUUUGGCCUGUAUAGCUGUAUCUUAUGUGCCAUCAGAGAGUUUGGGCUUCUGAGCAUUAGCUUCCUGUUCUCCUGGAUGGCGGCAUUCAUAAUAAAAUAGCCAAUAUUUCUCCACUGCAAUUCUUGAUGUUUAGG